rfam:Triticum aestivum genome assembly, contig: Triticum_aestivum_CS42_TGACv1_scaffold_177788_2DS
GUACUACUCCCUCCGUCCGGAAAUACUUGUUGGAGGAAUAGAUGUAUCUAGACGUUUAUUAGUUCUAGAUGCAUCAAAUUUAUCCAUUUCUUGGACAAGUAUUUUCGGACGGAGGGAGUAUAAA